AUCGAACGCUGGCGGCAGGCCUAACACAUGCAAGUCGAACGGUAACAGGAAGACGCUUGCUUCUUUGCUGACGAGCGGCGGGCGGGUGAGCAAUGUCUUGGAAACUGCCUGAUGGAGGGGGAUAACUACUGGAAACGGUAGCUAAUACCGCAUAAUGUCGCAAGACCAAUGAGGGGGACCUUCGGGCCUCUUGCCAUCGGACGUGCGCAGAUGUGAUUCGCUAGCAGGUGGGGUACCGGCUCACCUAGGCGACGAACCCUAGCUGGUCUGAGAGGAUGACCAGCCACACUGGAACUGAGGCACGGUACAGACUCCUACAGUAGGCCGCAGUGGGGAAUAUUGCGCAAUGGAGGCAAGCCUGAUACAGCAAUGCGGCGUGUAUGAAGAAGGCGCUCGGGUGGUAGAGUACUUACAGCGGGGAGGAAGGAAAGAAAGUUAAUACGUGUGCUUAUUGACGUUACCCGCAGAAUAAGCACCGGCUAACUCCGUG
rnacentral:rRNA from 1 species